UACAGAGGGGGCGAGCGUUGUUCGGAAUUACUGGGCGUAAAGGGCGCGUAGGCGGCCUUCUAAGUCGAACGUGAAAUCCCCGGGCUCAACCCGGGAACUGCGUCCGAUACUGGGAGGCUUGAAUCCGGGAGAGGGAUGUGGAAUUCCAGGUGUAGCGGUGAAAUGCGUAGAUAUCUGGAGGAACACCGGUGGCGAAGGCGGCAUCCUGGACCGGUUCUGACGCUGAGGCGCGAAGGCGUGGGGAGCAAACAGG
rnacentral:rRNA from 1 species